CGGCGUGCUUAACACAUGCAAGUCGAACGAGACGAUUUAGAAGCUUGCUUUUAUGAGUCGAGUGGGCAAACGGGUGAGUAACGCGUAGACAACCUGCCGCAAAGAUGGGGACAACAGUCCGAAAGGACUGCUAAUACCGAAUGUUGUAUCUCCUCCGCAUGGAAGAGAUAUUAAAGAUGGCCUCUACUUGUAAGCUAUCGCUUUGCGAUGGGUCUGCGUCUGAUUAGCUAGUUGGUGGGGCAACGGCCUACCAAGGCGACGAUCAGUAGCCGGUCUGAGAGGAUGAACGGCCACAUUGGAACUGAGACACGGUCCAGACUCCUACGGGAGGCAGCAGUGGGGAAUCUUCCGCAAUGGGCGAAAGCCUGACGGAGCAACGCCGCGUGAGUGAAGAAGGUCUUCGGAUCGUAAAGCUCUGUUGUCGGGGACGAAUGUUGAGACCUAGAACAUAGGUUUCAAAUGACGGUACCUGACGAGGAAGCCACGGCUAACUACGUG
rnacentral:rRNA from 1 species